UACGGGGGGGCAAGCGUUGUUCGGAAUUACUGGGCGUAAAGGGCGCGUAGGCGGCCGCCUAAGUCAGACGUGAAAUCCCCCGGCUUAACCUGGGAACUGCGUCUGAUACUGGAAGGCUUGAGGAUGGGAGAGGGAUGUAGAAUUCCAGGUGUAGCGGUGAAAUGCGUAGAUAUCUGGAGGAAUACCGGUGGCGAAGGCGGCAUCCUGGACCAUUACUGACGCUGAGGCGCGAAAGCUAGGGGAGCAAACGGG
rnacentral:rRNA from 1 species